rnacentral:lncRNA from 1 species
UUUGUUUUGUUGUUGUUUGUUUUGUUUGUGUUUUUGGGUGUUGGUUUUGUUGUUUUUGUUGUUGGUUUUUUUUUGUUUGUUUGUUUUUUGGUUUUUUUUUUUUGUGUGUGUUGUUGGUUUGGUUGGUUGUGUGGUGUGUUUUUUUUUUGGGUAUUGUUUUUUUUUGGGUUGUGGUUUUUUGGUGGUCCGGGUUUUUUUUUGGUUUAUUGGGUUGUUUUGUUUUUUUUUUUUUUUUGUUUUUGGGUUUUUUUUCGUGUUUUUUUGGGUGUUUUUUUUUUUGUGUUGUUUUUUUUUUUUUUUUUUGUCUUUUGUUUUUUUUUGUUGGUUUUGUUUGGUUUUUGUUGGUGUGUUGUUGUUUUUUUUUGUGUUUGUUUGUUUGUUGUUUUUUUUGUGGCUUGUGUUUUUGGUUUUUUUUGGUUUUUUUUUGUUUUGUUUUUUUUUUUUUGUGUUUUGUUGUUGGUGUGUUUUGUUUGUUUUUUUUGUGUUUUUUGGGUUGUUUGUUGUUGUUUGUGUUUUUGUUUUUUGUUUUUUGUUUUUUUUUUGGUUUCCUUUUUUUUUUGGUUGUUUUUUUUUGUUGUUUUGGUUUUUUUUGCCGUGUGUUUUUGUUUGUUUUUUUUUGUGUGGUGGUUUGGUGGGUUUUUUUUUGUUGUGUUGUGUUUGUGUUCUGUUUUUUGUGAUUUUUUUUUUUUUUUGGUUGGGUUUUUUUGUUUUGUUUUUUUGUUGUUUGUUGUGUUUGGUUUGUGUUUCGUUUUUGGUUUUUUUUUUUGUUUUUUGUUUUUUUUGUUUUUUUUGGGUUUUUGUUGUUGUUUUUUGUAUUUUUUUAUAGUUUGUGUUUGUUUGUGUUUUUUUGUGGUUGUUAUUUUUUUUGUUUUUGUUGGUGGUUUGUGUUUUUGUUUUUGGGGUUCUGUUUUGGUUGUUUUGUGGUGUUUGUUUUUGUGUUUUUUUUUUUUUUUUUUGUGUUUGUUUGUUGUUUGUUUGUUAUUUGUGGGUUUUUUUUUUGUUUUUUUGGUUUUUGGUGGUUUUGUUUGUGUGUUGGUUUGUUUGUACAAAACCUGCAUUGCUUGCUGUUUGGGGUUUUAGGCUGGGUUUC